rnacentral:tRNA from 3 species
GCGGAUGUGGUGGAAUUGGUAGACACGCACGUUUGAGGGGCGUGUGGCUUAGGCCUUGCGAGUUCAAGUCUCGCCAUCCGCA